UGGGGAAUUUUGGACAAUGGGCGAAAGCCUGAUCCAGCAAUGCCGCGUGUGUGAAGAAGGCCUUCGGGUUGUAAAGCACUUUUGUCCGGAAAGAAAUGGCUCUGGUUAAUACCUGGGGUCGAUGACGGUACCGGAAGAAUAAGGACCGGCUAACUACGUGCCAGCAGCCGCGGUAAUACGUAGGGUCCAAGCGUUAAUCGGAAUUACUGGGCGUAAAGCGUGCGCAGGCGGUUGUGCAAGACCGAUGUGAAAUCCCCGAGCUUAACUUGGGAAUUGCAUUGGUGACUGCACGGCUAGAGUGUGUCAGAGGGGGGUAGAAUUCCACGUGUAGCAGUGAAAUGCGUAGAGAUGUGGAGGAAUACCGAUGGCGAAGGCAGCCCCCUGGGAUAACACUGACGCUCAUGCACGAAAGCGUGGGGAGCAAACAGGAUUAGAUACCCUGGUAGUCCACGCCCUAAACGAUGUCAACUAGUUGUUGGGGAUUCAUUUCCUUAGUAACGUAGCUAACGCGUGAAGUUGACCGCCUGGGGAGUACGGUCGCAAGAUUAAAAGCUCAAAUGAUUUGA
rnacentral:rRNA from 1 species